GGGUCGGUAGCUCAGGUGGUUAGAGCGCACGCCUGAUAAGCGUGAGGUCGAAGGUUCAACUCCUUCUCGACCCACCA
rnacentral:tRNA from 2 species